ACGCGGCUAUUAAAAUUUUCAUUUUCGGAAUGAAAUUUAUUUGGCGAAAUAUGAAAUUGGAACCAAAUUUACAAGCUCCGUUGCAAAAACAUAAGCGCGUCAUGGGUCUGCAUGAUGCAAUAAAACUUGUAUGUUUACAUUUUGUAAUCAUCUCGAACAGUAUUUCUUAGCAAGCUUAUUCGCGUUUUUUGAAGAUUUGUGAUAAAUAAGUAAAUGUGUGGUUAUGUGCGAUUCUGCGGACAUGGAUUAUGAUGCGGCUGGAGUAAUUACAUGCUAUCUAGAAGUGACUGUUUUCGUUAAUGGAUUCGAGUGCUUUUUUUUUCUCACUUAUUUUCCGUCGGUCUAGUUCCGCCACUGUUGUGGCCAAUCACCGACGCCCAGGGAGGCGACUCCACACCCAGGACCCUAACUCACGACCCGUUUAUUAACGGACCGGCGCCAACGGCUUUACUUCCUCAUGCGAUGGAAGGCGUGAUCCCAGAGAUUUUUCGCCUCAGAAAAUCUCCCGGUGUCGGCUAGGAUUGAAUCUGGACCAGUUGGGUUGGUUGUGAGAGGAUCACGCCACCUCACAACCAUCGACACCUAUGUCGGCGGUGGGAUUCGAACCCAGGCGUCGAGCGUGGUUGGCGGAGAUUCGAGUGCUUGUUGCUGUAGAAAAUCAUAUUCAAAAAGGACGGCAUAAUUUAAAAAAGAAGAUUGAUCUGCUUGCCGUACGUGAAUUUAUUCGAUAGGAAAACUGUAAAUUUACCAGAAGAAGCUUGUUUUAGAAUCGGUGUCAACUUUGGCUCUGCGUUUUUGGCCACUUCAUGUUUGUAGGAAUGCGAAUUGUCGAAAUUUGAAUUUGUCCUUAGUGUUGUUCCGAUAAGACAAUCAGCCUGGUCUACAAGCUGUCUAAAUAGCAGAAUUCACCGGUUAAAGUUAAGCUGAAGCAUCGUACACUAAAGGAGUUGAAGAAGACCAUCAAGGGCAAGCGACACAAACAGGACUUCCGUCAGAUUACCCUGCGUGGUGCUAGUGAUAUUAGGCGACCCUAGCGACCGGCCAUCGCCUCAGGCCACUGUCUUCGUACGGCUACCACUGCCUCAAAACGGCCCUGUAAACAAUGAUGAACGAUGGAUGUGAGGUUCCAGCGAAUUUUUAUUAUGGGCGCUAUUGGAGAAUUGGCAUCAAACCGACUCGCUUAUUUAAUACAAAUAGGACGUAGCUUCCGUAAUAAAGCCCAAUAAGUUGGAAUGCACUUUGUGAUGCUGGGUACCCUUCCGAACCGUGGUUGAUAACACCAUACCGAGCGCCAGAACCAGAAAGUGAUUUUAAUUCUAGGCACAGCUUGGGUAGAGGCAUCAUUGAAAGAACUAUUGGUGUCUUGAAAAAUCGCUUCCGGUGCAUUCUUGGUUCUCGGCAGCUCCAUUAUGCUCCAGCUAAAGCGGCUAAAAUUGUGAAUGUCUGCUGUGCUCUGCACAAUGUUUGUUCAAGCUACAUGGAAGAAAACGAUCUCGAGGAUGUUUGAAAUGUUUAGUGUUCUAAAUGUAACAUGUUUGUGAUGUAUUUACUACACUUAGGCUAACUAGACGGCACAGCAACGUUUUUUGACUAUUCUAAUCGUCCAGUCUUUGAAAAAAGUGACCAGAUUUUGGCACUCAUUUUAAAACAAUUCCUAUUUGUGACACUCGUAGAAAUGCAGUAGAACUUGCGGUCUAUUAAAAGAACAAGCAUCAUCAUCCUUUCCCUUUCCAAGUAGUGCAGCCGACGUCGUUAUUGAUCAGUGCAGCGGUCCAAAACCGAAAUUUAUAGGGAAUUUUAGAUAUAGAGCUCGAUAGCAAAGUUUUAGAGAAAAACUUUCUUCUACAAAGUUGUUACUUAUGAUAAAGCGCUUAUUGAAAAAUGAUUAAAAAUUGGGGUGACCCAAAUUUUCGAUUAAAUCAAAUAUCUAACUUUUUUAUGGAUAGAAGUUGUUUUACGAUGUUUUGGCUGCUUUAAUUCUAAACAAUGAAAGCACACCGAUUUAUUUUUUUCGUAUUUUUUCUUGAAACUAUAAAAAUGUACGUUGAUUUGAUCCAAAAAGAUCAAAAAUCAAUCACCUGGUUCAAAAAUUAUGUUGUUUUUAGGAUAAAAUACAAUGAAUAAAGCUGUUUUUAUUAGGAUCACCCUAUUUCGGAGCUGGUCACUCUGACGACUUAAUAAAAAAAUACGGCGGUUUGGUUAUUUUCAUCUAAAAUCCAUGUUUGCAAUUUUGACCACAAUUGAAGCCCUUUGGAUGACCAACACUCUUGGGAGAUAAACUGAAGUGCUUCACGCCAGAACCGUAACUAGAUAUAUAUAAUAAUCGAUUAUGAAAAUAUUAAAAAAAAAAAUAUUAUUAAAUCUUAAUCUU